CACUGUGAAGAAUCUGAUAGUCGAACUGAAUGAAGCCAAGUCCAGUCUUUACGGAAAAAUUUACACAACACUUCCAGCAGUGACCUGAGAAGCUACGUAUUGACACGGCGCUACCACGGGUGGAGGAGCCUGCAUUGCUGAAUCACAGGAUGAAGGCGAAUCCCUGCCAGCCUCCAUCCAUCUCUGGGGUGCUUAGCAGAAUCCUCAGCUCACAAGAUGAAUAAAUGCAGACUAAAUGAUGCACAAAUAAUCUUCACACACAACCAUCAACACAUGGAAAGACUGCAGGACGGCCAGAUCCCAAGCUAACAAACAGGGGAAGAUGAUGUUUCAAAUGAUCAUCUGAAUGCUGGGUUUCCACCUUCCACCAGGAAGUCAUAUGGUAAAAAGAAAAAAAAUGGCAUUAUGAUACAAACAGAAAAUGUAACAGUGGAGUGCAGAAAAUACAAAAAAAAGGAAAAAAUAAAUAGAAAAUCUUCAAAGAGGCAAUCUGUUUAAAUCUUCAAGAACUGGAAACAGUAAAAGUGAACAGGUUUUUAUUGAGCAUGUCAAUAAAAUGUUUGCAUAAGACUUUACAAGUGCUUUAUUUCAUGAGGUUUUUAUUAUUGAUCAAAGCAACGAAAAUGAACGGGAAAUUCAUUCUCAUCAAAUCUACAACUUGGGAGGAGGUCCGAUGAAAUCCCUGGAAGCUCACAUUUUUUAUAAAUGAAGAGUUAAUUACCGGUGGGAACAAUGAGAACCUCUGUGGUUCUUCCUGAUGCUUGGAUCCUCCCAGACCUCUGUUUCCAGUCUCCUUCUCCACAACCUGGCCUAUGCGAUGCAAGUGGUCUAACUGAUCUCCGCCUAGGGAAGGAUCCUUCGGCAACUUGCCGACAAGAGAAGCAGCGAUGCCCGAGGCAGGUCCAAAGGAGCACUGACUGCGUGGGAUUGAUUACACUGGAGGAACAAAAGGUCCUGUGGCUACACAAGUUUGAAAAGCAGAAGGUACAAUCAUUGUAUUUCUGGCAGACUUUUCAAAGACUUUAAUAUAUGAAUCCCUCAUAUGAAUCUCCUGGAGGAUUAUAUAAUAGGCAGAUCUCCCAGCCAUUUUCACUGAACAGUUCUUAGAAUUGGUAUCCUUGAAAAAUUUCACCUAACCACUCAAUAUGGUAGCCACUAGUCCUGGGUGGCUAUUGAGCACCUGAAAUUUGCCUAGUCUGAAUUAAGACACAUUCUAAGAAUAAAGCACACUGUAUUUCAAAGGCAGUACAAAAAUAAAAAAGAAUGUAAGCUGUCUCAAUAAUAAUUUUUGUAUUGAAUACGUGUUGAAAUGAUGUUAUUUUUGAUAUAUUGAGUGAAAUAAAUUGUAUUGCUAAAAUGA
rnacentral:lncRNA from 1 species